CUUAAGAAGGGGAAAGAACAGUCAUUUCCAUUACACGCCCCCACCAUUGUUGAACCUGCAGGUCUACCAGACUCUGUCUGCUGUCUGAGGAGUGAAAGUAUUUCCUGCUGCAUGCCCUUCUCCUUUGCCUUUCUUCUCUCUACUCUGUCCACCUUUGCAGACAGCAUGGAGAAGAUCUCCAGGCCUUGAGUUCAUUCUCUGAUGCAGCACUGGCUUGCAGGAUCUCCUGGAACAUGUCAUCCUUAUCUGGCUUAGGUGUCCCACGGGUGUGGAGGUGGAGACCCUGAAAACUGCAAUGGUAGCAGCUGCAGAUACAACACACAGAGCUGCAAAUUUUUCAAGCCUCCCUCCUCUGUCCAGAAGGCUAUCUCAGAUAAGGCGGUGAAAAAACGGAUGUGAGACGAAAUAUUCUCAGAAAUCAUGGAAUUGACCCGCAAUGAAAGAGCUCAUCUGAAUGAGUGGAAGGUCACCCUAUCCCAGUACAGGAAAGCUUCCAGUGAACGUGAGGCAAUGAGGAACGAAUGGGAGAAGAGGAGAGAUGCUCGAGAUGAGAGGUGGCAAGAUGCAACGCUGGGGCUGCUGCGUGAUCAAACGGACAUGCUCCGGCGUCUGGUGGAGCUUCAGGAACGGCAGCAGGAUCACAGAGUACUGCUGCAGCCCCUGUAUAACCGCCCUUCCCCCUCACCAUGUUCCAUAGCCUCCUCACCCAGACGUGUAAGAACGCGGGGGGGGGGGGAGAGUGAGGGAGGCUCCAUGCACCCGCCCACUCCACCCCAGUGGACAGCCCAAGCAAAAGGCUGUCAUUAUUUUGAACUUUUGAAGUUGCCUUUUCCUUCCCUCCUAUCCUCCUCCCAAACCCCACCCGGGCUACCUUGUCAGUUCUCUCCCUCUUUUUAUAAUCAAUUAAUAAAGAAUAUAUGAUUUUUAAA